GUAAAGAGUUAUGAAAUUAAAAAUUUUCUAUUUGGGGAAGGAAUAAGAGAUUUAUGAUUUGGAGAAGAAAUUAGGCAUUUGAGUUUGAGGGCAAACUGACGAUUUUGAACCGAAAUAAUUCAGUUUAACUUCGUUCUUCUGUUAAAUCGGUUAGGUUCAGUUGCAUUUUUUUUUAUGAAAGAUUUGAUUUUCGGUUUGAGCGAUUUGGUUUAUUUGGUUUGAACCGAAUGUUCAGCCCUAAAUACAAAGGCUCAAGCUCAAAAUUAAAUAAACCCUAGAUUUAGGUAGAUUUGACUUCGAAACCUAAUUGACUUAGUUUGGUGAGCAACAGAUACCCUUGCACGCUGCUAGAACUAUCUCACACCAGGGACUUGAUGUGUUCUCAAGAACCACCCUUUUUGAACCAUGACAAAUCAAAUGGAAA
rnacentral:misc_RNA from 1 species